rnacentral:rRNA from 1 species
CAAUAGCGUAUAUUAAAGUUGUUGCAGUUAAAAAGCUCGUAGUUGGAUUUCUGGCAGGAGCGACCGGUCACACACUCUGUGUGUGAACUUGCGUUGUCUCUGGCCAUCCUUGGGAAGAUCCUGUUUGGCAUUAAGUUGACGGGCAGGGGAUACCCAUCGUUUACUGUGAAAAAAUUAGAGUGUUUAAAGCAGGCUUAUGCCGUUGAAUAUAUCAGCAUGGAAUAAUAAGAUAGGACUUCGGAACUAUUUUGUUGGUUUGCGUUACGAAGUAAUGAUUAAUAGGGACAGUUGGGGGUAUUCGUAUUUCGUUGUCAGAGGUGAAAUUCUUGGAUUUCCGAAAGACGAACUACUGCGAAAGCAUUCACCAAGGAUGUUUUCAUUAA